UGAUGAAGAACCUUUAGAUCCUGUUGCUUCUGAUCCAAAUCCAAUUGUUAACGUUAACAUCCGGGAUUCUGUUUCCCGUGUCGUUGAUGAAGACACUCCCAUGUCCAGUUUGAACAACAGCAUCUUUACUACACCCUCUGGAGCUCAUAAUAGUUGUUCUUCAAAGAUGCUGGACAAUGAGCUGAAGCGUAAUUUGGAGACGGUUUAUGAUGUGGAUCUUUGUUCUUCUCAGUCUUCAACUAAACCGCGUCAUGGUGAUUGUGAGAACAAUGAAGGUUUGAAGAUGAAAGCAAAGCUGGAAAAUUAGUAUUAACAUUUAAUAGUCAUUUCAGUUUUUUCGAACAAUUUGAGAUGUUUUCUUUUGGUUAAUUUUUUCCGGAACAUUUAUUUUAGUACUUGAUGUUUGGUUUCAUAUGGAUAUUUCGUUUAUUA